rnacentral:lncRNA from 1 species
AAGAGUAUUCGAAUUAUGAUCCCCGUUGCUACCAGAUGAUGUACGUUUUGUUCAUUACUUCAAGGGAAGAAAUCUUGCUAUAAUGACAGGAGAGAGAUGUUUAUGACCAUAACAGUUAAAUUUCAUGGUGAACGUACUUGGGGUGAUGGGAAGUGCUACCAAACACAGAUUUCCUGUUUUUAAAAAAAAAAAAAAAAAAAGAUUUAGUCUUGACUUCAGUCUUUUGCAGAGAGAAGCAUGUUUUUUAAGAGAGGCAUGUUACAGGAGCAGAUGGUGUAGGCUUUUAUCACUGAUGGCUGUUGGUGUUGAGAGGAAGGCUUGGAAAUCGUAUCUCAGGAAGAACUGUGCUGUUUGGUGUGAGUGCUGGUUACCUUGGACUACUUUGCAGACUGUUUCUGCAAAGUGUCUCCGGUUGUGUGACUGCCUAAACGACUGUUACAGUUUUUCUUAUCCUUAGGCAGAAUGGGUUUACUCUGGCCUCAAGACUGUUCUCAGUCGUCCCUACAAGCUAUUCAAGAGAGCAAAAGGAACGUCCUCUUUGACUGGAACAAAAGGAGAAGCAUAGAUGUGCGGUAUGUUCCUUCUUUUAUGCUUGGUGUAUGAAGAAUUAUCCAUCACAUAAAACAGAGGUGACCAUGACUCAAGAUGUCC